UGAUAAAGGUGUUUAUGCAAGUUGACUCCUAUUUGAUGGCUUCAAGGUUACUUCGGGGCCCUGGGAUGAUAAGUAGUCCAGGCCGUGAGGGCCUGUGGCCCGGCUUGGGCAGCAGCUCACUCCAUGGCAACAGGAGGAAGUAUCCCUUCUGAUGAGGAGUAGGCUACUGGCUUGGAAAGAUUAUGAUGGCUGCAAGGAAUGAUUUGGAACCAUACGAUACACUAGCCCCAAAGGCAGCUCCAGGGACUAAGGAGGAGCCUAAUCUGGUCCCUUCCAUCACUGACCAAUGAUUAGUGGGCUAUGCCUGUGAAGAGGUUAGCAGGGCAGUCAUCUGAUUCUGGCUUCACAGAGGCAAGACAAAGCGUUGCCCUAACUGUGGAACCCAUUACAAGCUGGUACCCCACCAGCUGAGCCACUGACCCCUGGAUUGGUUUACUUGAAAUGUGUUAUAAUGUUUUCUUCCCUCCAAUAAAAGACUAGCCAUUUUCCUGACUCUACCAUUUAAAAAAAAAAAUUUAUGAAAUGGUACCCAAGAGACAAAAAAAAGUAUGGUUAAACCUGAGAAGUUUAGACCAAGGAGUGAUGUCCUCAUGAAAUUAUUGAAAGUCUGAAUUAUGAAACUUUUUUAAAAGCCAAUAAUAUAUACUUCAAGUUACUCAGACAGUUGUCAGCCAGCUUCUGAUUGUGUUAGGCAUCCUGACUAUAUCAGGUUCACUAGGGCUGACUAGAUGGGAAAUUUUCAAAAUCAAUAUACACUUAUUAAGCACCUACUGUGUGCCAGGCGCUGUGCUAAGCACUGAAUAUUUUAACAUUUAAAGACAUAGUUCUUGUGACUUUCCUACUUCUAUGUACCUGCUGUAUCCUUGAAACAGAAAAACAAUGCUUGUGUUAUAUAUACCUAGAGUUGAAAUAUCAGAAAAGCCUAGAGUCCCUAAAAAGGGAAGUACCAAGCUCAUCUCCCAAUUUUUCCAGUCAUUGUUACCUGAAUACUUCUAUAGAAAAUGUCCAAAUAUAAUUUAGAUCACUGUUCUACAUUAAGCUCCUCAGCAGAGCUACUAGUUUUCAUGUGAAGAUUUUUUAGUGCUGUAGACAUAAUUUGUUAUACAAGUAUAAAGGUUUGAAGAAACUUAAUAGUAUUAGAAUUUUAAUGAGUUUAAAACAUGACUCCAAUACCUGAAAUUUGGGCUUUAUCUACCUACCUUUCUUUCCCAUGAGUUCUUUUCAUGAGGGACCAAAGAGUGAUACUUGGAACCAAAACUUUCUGUUGUACAUGUGUAUCAACUUGGCUAUCUAAAUUAUUUGCUCCUCUAAAGUAGCAGUGGAUUUGGAGUCAUUAGUCCUCCAUAGAACUCAGUUUCCCCAUUUGUAAAAUAAAAGGAUUGGACUAAAUGACCUCUGAAGUUCCUUCCAGCUCAGUGUAUAAUUUUGUGUUUCUGCCUAAUGAAAGAGUAAGGAAUGGGAUGAAGGGAAUUUUUUUUUUUAAUAAAAAUGUUUGUUAACAAACACUGAAGGGGAAGAAGUUGCUCAUCACCAGUUGCCAGUUAACUUUUAUAAAUGCACUUUUUUUCUUUUUCCCUUUCCCCAUCAGGGACAUAGUUAAAUGAACCAUGUAAGAUUUUCUUUCUGAACUAAUUUUAUGGGACCCUCAAAUAUGUAUUUCUUCCUGUUUGUUAUGUUUCUUUAAGCAUGUGUGCAUUUUCUUACCAGAAAGUGCCAUUUUCAAUGUAUCGCCAGUAAAUCUUUUAUGUCAAUAAAAAAAAAUCACCCAUGUG